rnacentral:rRNA from 1 species
AUUGACCGCUGGCGGCAGGCCUAACACAUGCAAGUCGAGCGAGCGGCGGACGGGUGUGCAACGUAUGGGGACUGUCAGAUAGAGGGGGAUAACACUUGGAAACGGUGGCGAUUAUCGCAUACUGUCGGAUUAACCAUAUGGGGUUUGCUCGUAGGUAAGGUAAUGGCGUACCCAGGCGACGAUCUCUAGCUGGUCUGUGAGGAUGAUCAGCAACCCUGGGACUGAGACACGGCCCAGACUCCGACGGAGGCAGCAGUGGGGAAUAUUGCACAAUGGGCGCAAGCCUGAUGCAGCCAUGCCGCGUGUAUGAAGAAGGCCCUAGGGUUGUAAAGUACUUUCAGUCGGGAGGCGUUACCGACAGAAGAAGCACCGGCUAACUCCGUGCCAGCCGCCGCGGUAAUAC